rnacentral:rRNA from 1 species
UACGGAGGGUGCAAACGUUGCUCGGAAUCAUUGGGCGUAAAGCGCACGUAGGCGGUCCGGCAAGUCGGGUGUGAAAGCCCUCGGCUUAACCGAGGAAGUGCAUUCGAAACUACCGGACUUGAAUACUGGAGAGGGUCGCGGAAUUCCCGGUGUAGAGGUGAAAUUCGUAGAUAUCGGGAGGAACACCAGUGGCGAAGGCGGCGACCUGGACCAACACUGACGCUGAGUGAGCGAAAGCCAGGGGAGCAAACGGG